UACACUGCAGUCGAACGGUAACAGGAACACUUGCUGCUUCGCUGACGAGUGGCGGACGGGUGAGUAAUGUCUGGGAAACCGCCUGAUGGAGGGGGAUAACUACUAGAAACGGUAGCUAAUACCGCAUAACGUCGCAAGACCAAAGAGGGGGACCUUCGGGCCUCUUGCCAUCGGAUGUGCCCAGAUGGGAUUAGCUAGUAGGUGGGGUAACGGCUCACCUAGGCGACGAUCCCUAGCUGGUCUGAGAGGAUGACCAGCCACACUGGAACUGAGACACGGUCCAGACUCCUACGGGAGGCAGCAGUGGGGAAUAUUGCACAAUGGGCGCAAGCCUGAUGCAGCCAUGCCGCGUGUAUGAAGAAGGCCUUCGGGUUGUAAAGUACUUUCAGCGGGGAGGAAGGCGAUAAGGUUAAUAACCUUGUCGAUUGACGUUACCCGCAGAAGAAGCACCGGCUAACUCCGUGCCAGCAGCCGCGGUAAUACGGAGGGUGCAAGCGUUAAUCGGAAUUACUGGGCGUAAAGCGCACGCAGGCGGUCUGUCAAGUCGGAUGUGAAAUCCCCGGGCUCAACCUGGGAACUGCAUUCGAAACUGGCAGGCUAGAGUCUUGUAGAGGGGGGGUAGGAUUCCAGGUGUAGCGGUGAAAUGCGUAGAGAUCUGGAGGAAUACCGGUGGCAAGGCGGCCCCCUGGACAAAAAACUGACGCUUCAG
rnacentral:rRNA from 1 species